rnacentral:rRNA from 1 species
UACGUAGGGUGCAAGCGUUGUCCGGAAUUAUUGGGCGCAAAGAGCUCGUAGGCGGCUUGUCGCGUCGACCGUGAAAACUCGCAGCUCAACUGCGAGCCUGCGGUCGAUACGGGCAGGCUAGAGUUCGGUAGGGGAGACUGGAAUUCCUGGUGUAGCGGUGAAAUGCGCAGAUAUCAGGAGGAACACCGAUGGCGAAGGCAGGUCUCUGGGCCGAUACUGACGCUGAGGAGCGAAAGCGUGGGGAGCGAACAGG